rnacentral:rRNA from 1 species
CGUCAGCUCGUGUCGUGAGAUGUUCGGUUAAGUCCGGCAACGAGCGCAACCCACAUCCCUAGUUGCCAGCAGUUCGGCUGGGCACUCUAUGGAAACUGCCCGUGAUAAGCGGGAGGAAGGUGUGGAUGACGUCAAGUCCUCAUGGCCCUUACGGGUUGGGCUACACACGUGCUACAAUGGUGCGCACAGAGGGCUGCAAACCCGCGAGGGGGAG